AUGUCACUCCCCUACCAGACCUGUCUCGGCAGCUGUCACGCUGAGGAGCACUCUGACGUCCAGCCCCAGCUGCUCUUGCCCGGCUGCACCAGGUGCUCCGGGCCGCCUCCUUCUGCACCCUCGCCUGCCCUGUGGGGACCUGACACCUCCACUCAGGCUACACCUCAGUGCACCAGGCCGAACUCUGAGCCAAGGCCCUGGAGGGAGACAGCACAUCCUCGCUCAGCUCACUGCAGCACUGUGCAGACGCCUGCAGCACGGGUCCUUCACCCGUCCAUUCUGUCAGAAUUUUUCAAGCAUCUGCCAUAUGUGAGAAGAUGCUGGGGAGUGUUCUGGGAAUGUGUGGUGAACAAGACACGAAGCCCUGACUUCCGUGGCACUUCCAUUCUUACAAGCCCAUCCAGCCCCCUCACUCCCUCCUCCCAGCCCCAGCAGGCAAAAGAGUGGGCCAAGGGCCACAGAAUCCUGCGUGGGGCGGAACCUGGCCCUGCUUCAGCCGGGCCUGGCUUGUAACUUUCCAGCAUGCUGCGGGAAGCGGCUGGAAGCUCCGUCCUCUGGCGGCCGCCUCAGAAACUGCGCCCGCAGAGGACGGCCGUGCACUCCGGCUUUGCUUCAGUUUCGUGCUUUUGUGUUCGAUAGCAUUUUAUAAGUUGAUGAUUAUUACUAAAAAUUGAAUUAUGUUUAAGUAAAGUUCUUGCAAAAAUAUACAGUAGGAAGCAUUUGGAUAGAAGAUUUCUGGGAAGGAGCAGCCGAAUCGCACAAGGGGAACUCCAAGGGGCGGCUCUGUGUGGGCCCAGGCCCAGUGUUUGCUUCAGCGCUGUCGUCCUCUCUGAAACUUUCUUAGCAAACCAGAGUGAGACUCUGUUAGCAGCAGCUCGGGCCAUGCUUCGGCAGAGGCCGGGUCCAGGGAGCUCCCGGGCUGCCUCCCCGGCCGCACGGCCCAGUCGCAGCCCCAGAGGCCUGAGUCUCCGUGCUCAGGUGGGCUCCCCUCCAUGCGAGGCCCGUGCAGCAGCACCUCCCCGCGGAGAGAUGCUGGGAAUGGUCCUGGACGCUGCUUCGCAGCUGCGGCAGUGCCGGGGGCGUCUCCUA
rnacentral:lncRNA from 1 species